rnacentral:miRNA from 1 species
UUACCUCCCAAAUGUCCCCCAGA